rnacentral:lncRNA from 1 species
CUUGAAGAAGGUGUCUUCCAGGAACUGGCAGUAGGACUGGGAGUUGAGCUUGACUCCAUCCUCAACCCGAAAAGGCCCCACAAGCUCAUCUUUGAAGAUACCAGCCCAAACCAGUACUCCACCUCCACCUUGCUGGCGUCUGAGUCGGACUGGAGCUCUCUGCCCUUUACCAAUCCAGCCACGGGCCCAUCCAUCUGGCCCAUCAAGACUCACUCUCAUUUCAUCAGUCCAUAAAACCUUAGAAAAAUCAGUCUUGAG